GCGUUGGUAGUUCAGUGGUAGAAUUCUUGCUUGCCAAGCGGGAGGCCUGGUUCCGAUUCCCAGCCAAUGCA